UUGACAGAAACCUCAUUCAACAAAAUACUAUCCAGCUGAAAACAUCACAAAAAAUACUCUCCCUAAUAGAAAACAAAAACUUUGACUUGAAACAUUUGAAAAAUUACUAGAAUGGAUUCCAAUACACUGAGGGAUAAAGUUCGCAAGAUGGUUGCGAUUAAUCGGGCGAUUAGUCGCUCGAAAAUGUUCGACAAGAACCGCUCCAUUGACGAGGAGCUGCCUGAACUGAAGAUGGAGAAGAAAGCUCACCAGAAAGCUCAUUACUAUCAGCAACGCGUCGACUCGAAGGAAGAGCGGGAAAAGGACAAUCUUCGAGCCAAGCUAAUCCAAGAAAUGUCGGUGGGCGAACAAACCGUGGAAUUUGGAUUUCGAAGCGAAACAUUCAAGGCGCCCAGUAAUCUAAACAUGCAUUAUUGAACUUUUCUAUAGAAAUAUUUUUCGCCAAAGAGAACAUAGCUUAAAAAAAGUGUAUUUAUUAGAGAAUACCUUCCUCCCAAGUUGAAGUUGUCGCGAGGAAUUCAAAAUUGUGCGCUUCUGAUGUUAUGUUUAUGUGACAGCUCGAUGGAUUUAAAUCGCACUUUUCUGAGACGGACCCCGGCCUGGACAACCUUGGAUCGAUUUGCGCUUUUAAUUACAGCUGUCUUCCAUAUGAGAGUUAUUGGACUGUGACUGCUACUCUCAAUGCCGGUUUUGAUUUUAGUUUUUCAUCAAAGCCCAUAUUUUUGGUCACAACCGGGUUUGCAAUGAACUUAAAACUCGAUUUGAACUAGAAAUCUCAAGACUUGCUUAAUUUUUCAAGACUCCAUUCAAGACUUACCACAAGACUCUAUAUACUCGAAUGUCGGAUUUCGAUCUUCAGUUUAAUCAACUUAAUUCUGAAAUUCCAAGGCGCUGGCAAAUCUAGAUUACUUGUUAUCGGGAAAGUUGCAGUCAUACGUCUAAUUUGGUUAUAAAAUUGUUUUAAAAAAUUCAGGUAUUAA